ACUUUUACCUUAAGUGAUUAUCGAAUUAUAAGUCAAAUUUUACAAAAUGAAAUUCUUAAUGUCCGUUGUACUAAUUGCUGCAUACUUAGUAUUCAUAGUCCAAGCACGCAGUCCUGCUGGCGGUCAUGGAAAUCCAAUAGGU